CCUCUUUCCCUCGAGGUACCGUGAAAUCCCUAAUUCCCCACCACAAGCCGCCACUUGCGCCGCCGUCAACAUCGCGAUGCUCACUGCUCUCUCCGGCCGGCCACUGCACCGCUCUGUCGUCCUCAAACCCUCCCGCCGCCCCACACGACCCAUCCCCCACGAGCUCAGAACCUCUCCUCCGCCAAGUUGCUCCAUCCCCACCUCAUCACCAAGAACACCGGCGUCGUCGUCGUCCUGGGCACCGGGCAGAUCCCGGCGAAGACCAGGCUCAACCUGUGCCGGAAGCUCUUGUCGGCCGUGGCGGAGCAGUGCUCCAUGCCAUCUCGCUUCUCCACCGCUAUCCCCGCGUCGUCCUGCCUCUCCACCAGUGCCCCCACACAACCCUGCUCCCCGCCGUCGCCACGUACUCCCUGCUGCUGCCGCCGGCGAUUUCCCACGAUCGGAACAAAUCAGCACCGGUGGUUUCUUUCUUCUUCAGAAGGCCAGACUUUUGCCGUUCAUAUUCAAGAGACCAUAUCCAUUUGACGUGCGAUGACACUCUGUUGCAGGCGAAGAUGAACUCCUGAUGGUCUACGCCGUCCUGCUUUGCCAUGGAGAGUUGGAGAAACUACCACAAGUCAAGGUGAGACCCAUGCCUGAAAAGGGGAAAUCACUCUGGAGUCGGCUCAAGAACAAGGCUAGACCCCAAUCUUGUUUACUCACUGUAUUCACUAUCUAUAAAGUUGUAUGCUUAUUUUCUUGGCAAAUAAGUGUUGGAAUAUUGGCUUCUCAUACCUAUGUACAGUAACUUAAGUAUAUCCCCAGGAGACUAUAUGAUCAGCAAUCAUACAAAGUAAUCAAAAUGAUGUGU